rnacentral:rRNA from 1 species
CCUACGGGAGGCAGCAGUGAGGAAUAUUGGUCAAUGGACGAGAGUCUGAACCAGCCAAGUAGCGUGAAGGAUGACUGCCCUAUGGGUUGUAAACUUCUUUUAUAUGGGAAUAAAACGUUCCACGUGUGGGAUUUUGUAUGUACCAUAUGAAUAAGGAUCGGCUAACUCCGUGCCAGCAGCCGCGCUAAUACGGAGGAUCCGAGCGUUAUCCGGAUUUAUUGGGUUUAAAGGGAGCGUAGGUGGAUUGUUAAGUCAGUUGUGAAAGUUUGCGGCUCAACCGUAAAAUUGCAGUUGAAACUGGCAGUCUUGAGUACAGUAGAGGUGGGCGGAAUUCGUGGUGUAGCGGUGAAAUGCUUAGAUAUCACGAAGAACUCCGAUUGCGAAGGCAGUUCACUGGACUGCAACUGACACUGAGGCUCGAAAGUGUGGGUAUCAAACAGGAUUAGAUACCCGAGUAGUC